GACGAACGCUGGCGGCGUGCUUAACACAUGCAAGUCGAACGGAAAGGCCCUGCUUUUGUGGGGUUCUCGGGUGGCGAACGGGUGAGUAUCACGUGAAUAACCUGCCCUUGACUUUGGGAUAACUUCAGGAAACUGAGGCUAAUACCAGAUAGGAGCUCCUUCUGCAUGGUGGGGGUGGGAACUUUUCGGCGGUUGGGGAUGGAGUCGCGGUUUAUCAGCUUGUUGGUGGGGUAGUGGCUUACCAAGGCUUUCACGGGUCGCCGGCAUGAGAGGGUGACCGGGAACAAGGUAACUAAGAGAAGGACCAGACUCCUAAGGUAGACAAAAGUGGGAAAUAUUAGACAAAGGACCAGAGCGGGAUACAGCAACGAUGGGGAUGUGAUGACGGCCUUAGGGGUGAAAAAAGCUUUCGCCUGUAACGAAGCGGGUAUGACGGUAAUGAGUAAAGAAGCACCGGCUAACUACGUG
rnacentral:rRNA from 1 species